UGAGGAAUAUUGGUCAAUGGGGGCAACCCUGAACCAGCCAAGUCGCGUGAAGGAUGAAGGUCUUAUGGAUUGUAAACUUCUUUUAUACAGGAAUAAAUUGGGGGACGUGUCCCCUUUUGCAUGUACUGUAUGAAUAAGGAUCGGCUAACUCCGUGCCAGCAGCCGCGGUAAUACGGAGGAUCCGAGCGUUAUCCGGAUUUAUUGGGUUUAAAGGGUGCGUAGGCGGCGAUAUAAGUCAGUGGUGAAAUAUUUCGGCUUAACCGAGAGACUGCCAUUGAUACUGUGUUGCUAGAAUAUGGUUGCUGUGAGUGGAAUGUGUGGUGUAGCGGUGAAAUGCUUAGAUAUCACGAGGAACUCCGAUUGCGCAGGCAGCUUACUAAGCCACAACUGACGCUCAUGCACGAAGGCGUGGGGAUCAAACA
rnacentral:rRNA from 1 species